UUUCCGUAGGUGAACCUGCGGAAGGAUCAUUCAUAAUAAGUGUUUUAUGGCACUUUUUUAUAUCCAUAUCCACCUUGUGUGCAAUGUCAGGGUUGAUUUUUCUCUCGAGAGGAUCAACCCCAAACAUCAACUAUAUCUCAACUCUUUGUCUGAAAAAUAUUAUGAAUAAAACAAUUCAAAAUACAACUUUCAACAACGGAUCUCUUGGCUCUC
rnacentral:misc_RNA from 1 species